UUUGCUACUGACCCGUGAGAUUACUCGGUCACUCAGUUCCUGAUUAUGUGCCUGUUACAUUCUUAUUUUAAACUAAUAUGAGUUGUGACAUGUCAACGGAGAACAGAAGCUGGAGUGUGAACACAGAGGAAGGGGCAGACUGCAUAUCAGAUCAAGCACGCGUUUUUCAGGGAAAAGAGGCACCCAACACAGAGACUACAGUGGCACAAAAACGGGGAAUAGAACUUGUCACCAUCAUCAGUCCUUUAUUUCAU